rnacentral:misc_RNA from 1 species
AACGCACAUUGCGCCCGCCAGUAUUCUGGCGGGCACGCCUGUUCGAGCGUCAUUUCAACCCUCAGGCCCCGCCUGGUGUUGGGGCCCCGCGGCCGCCGCGGCCCCCUAAAACCAGUGGCGGGCUCGCCAGGACUCCGAGCGCAGUAGCACACCACGCUCGCGGCGUCCCGGCGCGGCCCGGCCCUAAACCUACCAAGUUUUUACAAGGUUGACCUCGGAUCAGGUGGGAAUACCCGCUGAACUUAA